GGGUCAGUAGGUUGGUCGUGCCACCGGUACGUACUGGUCUCACUGAUUCCUCCUUCCUGAAGAGCCGUAAUGCCAUUAAUUUGGUGUUGCGGGGAAACAGGACUGUUACUUUGAAAAAAUUAGAGUGUCUAAAGUAAGCUAACGCUUGAAUACAUUAGCAUGGAAUAAUGAAAUAGGACGAUCGAUCCUAUUUUGUUGGUUUCUAGGAUUGACGUA
rnacentral:rRNA from 1 species